UACGGAAGCAGCAGUGGGGAAUAUUGCACAAUGGGCGAAAGCCUGAUGCAGCUAUGCCGCGUGUAUGAAGAAGGCCUUAGGGUUGUAAAGUACUUUCAUCGGGGAGGAAAAACAAAACUAAUAAUUUUAUUUCUUGACGUUACCCGAAAAAGAAGCACCGGCUAACUCCGUGCCAGCAGCCGCGGUAAUACGGAGGGUGCUAGCGUUAAUCAGAAUUACUGGGCGUAAAGAGCACGUAGGUGGUUUUUUUAAGUCAGAUGUGAAAUCCCUGGGCUUAACCUAGGAACUGCAUUUUGAAACUGAAAUACUAGAGUAUCGUAGAGGGAGGUAGAAUUCUAGGUGUAGCGGUGAAAUGCGUAGAUAUCUGGAGGAAUACCUGUGGCGAAAGCGGCCUCCUAAACGAAUACUGACACUGAGGUGCGAAAGCGUGGGGAGCAAACAGGGAUUAGAUACC
rnacentral:rRNA from 1 species